rnacentral:lncRNA from 1 species
CACACAGCUGCCCCGUGACAUUUGUCCAUGUGAGUAUUUGUGUGUGUGUUCAUCCAUCAUGCCCUCCACCCAGAUUAUUGAGUCAUCCUAUGGCCUGAGAAACUAAUAAUACCCCCAUGUCUCUGCUGCUAUUUUAGGCCUUGUGGGUCUGCAAGGUUGGGGGUGUGUGUGUGUGUGUGUGUGUGUGUAAGAGAGAGCAUGUUUGGAGGCUGAAAAGACUUCCCCCCCCUCUCUCUCUCCACGUCUCUACCUCUCUCUGCCUCUCUCACACGGUCACGGUGGGCUAAAUGGGAACAUGGGUGCGCACAAACAUAGUUAGCGUGAGGGGUUGGCAGAGGGGCAUCCUGCAGUUGCUCAGUGACAAACACACACACACUCACAAAGAGGAUUCGGACCCCGAGGCAAAACCUGGAGGUUCCCUGCUUUCACACGUCAAGGAUUGCACUGGAAUUUACGUAUUUCAUUGCUGGGAUUUAAUUUGAGCUCGGUUGGAUCACUUCUGGACGACCUGUGUGGAUAUUUAAUGCAACUUGUCGCUGCUCGCGUGGGUGCGGACACAAUCCAGAGUCUGAGUGUGAGGGUGAAGGAGAAGAGCAGCAGAUAGUCAAGAACAAGCAGCCAUACGUGGCGACAGAGGCCCCCUGAAGCGGAGGAGAGAAUGUCGAGGCCUCCCUCCUCCCAGACCACCCCUCAGUUCCAGAGGGUCAGCGAGAGAGAUCUCACAGAGAUCGAGCUCCAUUCUGUGGACUCCAUCAACGACCUCCACCGGACACACCAUGAUCACAGCCACAAAGUGAUGAGGCCUCCUCGCCCUGCUUACACACCCUCACAGAAUGGGAACCUCUACGCAUUUGACGCGACAGCUGUCAAUCAAAGAGGCCGCCCGGUUGGCAGCAAAUGGCAGAGCCGUCUACAGGACAUGCUGACGCCCAGUUCAUCGCAUGCCUAUGCAAUGGGCUGCGCUAUUAUCUCUUUGCUACUGCUAACUGUGUUACUCAUCUUCUACUUUUUGGUCCAGCAGGGCGGCGCAGUUCGGAUGCUGACGGAGGCUCUGAGGGAGAGAGAGGCAGCAGCCACAGAGCUGUCACUGCUGAUCCAAGAACUGCAGACACUGAGACACAACCUGACAGCCAUCAGAGGGGCAACAUGA